GAUGAAGAACGUAGCGAAAUGCGAUAAGUAGUGUGAAUUGCAGAAUUCAGUGAAUCAUCGAGUCUUUGAACGCACAUUGCGCCCCCUGGUAUUCCGGGGGGCAUGCCUGUCCGAGCGUCAUUGCUGCCCUCAAGCCCGGCUUGUGUGUUGGGUCUCGUCCCCCUUCCCGGGGGGACGGGCCCGAAAGGCAGCGGCGGCACCGUGUCCGGUCCUCGAGCGUAUGGGGCUUUGUCACCCGCUCUGUAGGCCCGGCCGGCGCUUGCCGAUCAACCAAAACUUUUUUCCAGGUUGACCUCGGAUCAGGUAGGGAUACCCGCUGAACUUAAGCAUAUCAAUAAGCGGAGGA
rnacentral:misc_RNA from 1 species